GAGGGAAUUUUCCGCAAUGGGCGCAAGCCUGACGGAGCAACGCCGCGUGUGGGGAGAAGGCUCUUGGGCUGUCAACCACUUUUCUCAGGGAAGAAUUAGUGACGGUACCUGAGGAAUCAGCCUCGGCUAACUCCGUGCCAGCAGCCGCGGUAAUACGGAGGAGGCAAGCGUUAUCCGGGAUUAUUGGGCGUAAAGCGUCCGCAGGGGGCGCACCAAGUCUGCUGUCAAAGGUCGGAGCUUAACUCCGGUGUGGCAGUGGAAACUGGUGCGCUAGAGGGCGACAGGGGUAGAGGGAAUUCCCAGUGUAGCGGUGAAAUGCGUAGAGAUUGGGAAGAACACCGGUGGCGAAAGCGCUCUACUGGGUCGCACCUGACCCUCAGGGACGAAAGCUAAGGUAGCGAAAGGGAUUAGAUACCCCUGUAGUCUUAGCCGUAAACGAUGGAUACUAGGCGUGGUUUGUAUCGACCCAAGCCGUGCCGAAGCUAACGCGUUAAGUAUCCCGCCUGGGGAGUACGCACGCAAGUGUG
rnacentral:rRNA from 1 species